UGCAUCUGCAGUAAAUAAAUAGUGGUGGGGCUUGCCAAAGUGGAUGAAUAUUUGAGAGAGUUGCACACUGCACCAGCCAAUGAAAUGUGAUGCUGAAUCAGUUAGGGAAAUUUCAGGGAUUUCAUAGCAACGGAACUGAAUGAUGAAUGUCUUCUCAGUGGAAGCUGACAGAUGUUACAGCUCUUGUUUCCUGCUUUUGUUCUUUCUAGUUUGCUCCCAGAAUGUUUAUUCUAACAAGCAGCCUGAUGCCCGCUGGGGACAGAAGGCACUGCUGUCUGCUCAGAUUUGGCUGCAGCCCAGGCUGUUUUAGGAAGGACCAUCAGGAGAAGGCUCACAAGAGCCAGCCAGGCAGGAUGGCCAUUCACUGAGACGAAGGCUCAAGUCAUGCCCCCAGGGAUUACAAGAGAUGGAGACUGAGAUUGACUUGUUUUUCUCUUCUGGAGCAAGUCUUUGGGGGGGAUUUUGCUUUUCAGAGGAACUUCUGCUAUGUGGAGAAAGAUUAGAAGGGAAACCAGCUUUCAGGCAUAGACUUGAACUUGGACAGCCCAGGAUGAAAAACACAACAUGACCAGGCUCUUGCCACCGUAAAUGCAGUCCUGCUGUACAACAGUGGCUUUGUGCCUGAAGAAGAGCUGAUCCUGCUGUCAUUUCAGAGUGGGAAGGGUGAGACACUGUCAAGAAAACUUCUGCUGAGCAUCCUCACUGCUGUCAGACAGAGAUACAAUUUCUCUUUAGGUGCUUUUGCUGAGUGAAAGAUUCACAUCAACAUUGGCUGCCCUCUCAUUUUCUUUUAAUGAUGCAAUAAAUUAGAAAAUGAUAAGGCACCAAGGGGAACAUUUGAAAUUCCAGUGGCAUUUCUAGGAAUGGCCUGAAAUGCUCCAAGUUUCUUGCAGCCUGCUGGCCAGCUUGCAGGAG